GGACCCGUAACUCAGCCAGAUAGAGCGGCGGGCUUUUAACCCGUAGGUCCCGGGUUCGAAUCCCCACGGGCCCC
rnacentral:tRNA from 1 species